AUUGAACGUUGGCGGCAGGCUUAACACAUGCAAGUCGAGCGGGGGAAGGUAGCUUGCUACCGGACCUAGCGGCGGACGGGUGAGUAAUGCUUAGGAAUCUGCCUAUUAGUGGGGGUCAACAUCUCGAAAGGGAUGCUAAUACCGCAUACGUCCUACGGGAGAAAGCAGGGGAUCUUCGGACCUUGCGCUAAUAGAUGAGCCUAAGUCGGAUUAGCUAGUUGGUGGGGUAAAGGCCUACCAAGGCGACGAUCUGUAGCGGGUCUGAGAGGAUGAUCCGCAACACUGGGACUGAGACACGGCCCAGACUCCUACGGGAGGCAGCAGUGGGGAAUAUUGGACAAUGGGGGGAACCCUGAUCCAGCCAUGCCGCGUGUGUGAAGAAGGCCUUAUGGUUGUAAAGCACUUUAAGCGAGGAGGAGGCUACUUUAGUUAAUACCUAGAGAUAGUGGACGUUACUCGCAGAAUAAGCACCGGCUAACUCUGUGCCAGCCGCCGCAGUAA
rnacentral:rRNA from 1 species